CACACAGGCCACGCGCUAUAUUUGGAACAAACUACGCGUGCCUGCGCUCGCGCGGUCUGUCAGCUUCAGUGUCAAACAAGACACCUUUACACCACUUUUAACCAGACUCUUAUAGCAAUAUCCUAAAAUAGGUGGUCUUCUCUUCACUGCGCCGUCGCUUUGUCUCUCCAUCGGUCGUACUGCGCUUAACAGACUUCACUGUUGAUCCUAAUAUAGCGGGAUCCACGAGCAUGCGCAGGAAGCGGGGACGCGCUGCGCGCGGAGAGGCUCGACUGUAAUGCACACGCACAAAUGGACGCUGGCACGCAGGAUGGUUGCCAUGAGGACUAUAUAAUGAACAGCGUAGACUCCGAUCCAAAUGCAGAAGCUUAUAUGGACUUCAUGAAAAAACACUGUUGUUAUGAUGCAAUUCCCACCAGCUGCAAACUAGUCAUUUUUGACACCACACUGCAGGUAAAGAAGGCCUUCUUUGCUUUGGUGGCAAAUGGCCUGAGAGCGGCCCCUUUAUGGGACAACAAACUGCAGAGAUUUGUUGGUAGGACUGAUCAGAGUGUGUGCAUGUUAUUUUUUUUAUCUCUGAGUUGUUCUCUUGUUUCCUUCAUUCCCUUGCAUUUUUCCCCAGGUAUGCUGACUAUCACAGAUUUCAUCAAUAUACUUCAUCGGUAUUACAGGUCACCCAUGGUUCAGAUCUAUGAAUUGGAGGAACACAAGAUUGAGACAUGGAGAGAUGUUUAUCUGCAAUAUCACGAUCAAUGUCUCAUCAGUAUCACACCAGAUGCGAGCCUCUUUGAUGCUGUCUACUCUUUACUGAAACACAAAAUCCACAGGCUGCCGGUCAUUGACCCAGAGUCUGGAAAUGUCCUUCACAUACUGACCCAUAAGAGAAUCCUCAAGUUCCUUCAUAUAUUUGGAGCCUCGGUGCCCAAGCCACGCUUCUUGAAGAUGCAAAUUAAAGAUGCAGGAAUAGGAACUUUCUCAGACGUGGCGACCGUCUCACAGAUGGCCACUGUGUACGAUGCACUUUCUGUGUUUGUUGAGCGACGUGUUUCCGCUCUCCCAGUGGUGGAUGACGAUGGCAAGGUGGUCGCCCUGUAUUCCAGAUUUGACGUGAUUAAUCUUGCAGCACAGAAAACCUACAAUAACCUGAGCAUGAGCAUGCAGGAGGCCGUGCGGAGGAGACGCGGUUAUGUGGAAGGAGUCAUUAAAUGUUACCCUGACGAGACUUUGGAAACUGCUAUUGACAGAAUAGUCAAGGCUGAGGUUCAUAGGCUGGUGCUUGUGGACAGAGAAGAUGUGGUUCGGGGAAUAAUCUCUCUCUCAGACCUGCUGCAGGCCAUAGUUUUAUCUCCAGCAGGUAUUGAUGCUCUGUUUUCCUAACCUGAGAGGAUAUGUUUUCUCCUGUUACCUCAUCUAACCAGCACUAGUAUCCAGGUGUUCAUAACCAGUGAGCAAUAACUGAAAACACUUAUAUGCAAUGCUAAUGAUAGAAAAUUGCUGAUGAAUAGAGUUCUCCCUGCAUGUUUGUGCAUGUGCGUGACCUGUUUGUUGGUUUUAUGAGUAUUUGAAUGUUUGAGAAUACACUGGUGGGUCAGGGACGUGACCCAGGAGCCUUUGUUAUAGUCAUUUAACACCUGCCACUGUCCUGUCCUGUCCUCUCUGUGCUGAUAUUGUUGUUGUACUUCAGAGUAGGAAUACCAUGGUAUUAUCUAGUUCACUUUCUGUAAGUGUACUGUAUUCUCUUAUCCUGUUUCAGGCUUUUAAAGCAGAUAAAGUAUGACUGCAAGCAAGAAUGAAGAAAGGAGCUCUUUUUUUACAUUAUACAUUCAUAUUGUAAAAUAUGUUCAGUCUGGAUUACGUAGUGUAUAAUAUAUUAAGCAACACAUUUCUCAUUUAACUGAGAGAUCGUUUGUGAUAAAUGAGUACUGACAAAGGAAACUGCUGCAUUUUGUUUUGAUGAGUGAGCACAUGGGCUUGGAUUCUGAUCAAAUUGAUCAUCUAGUUUGCCUUUUUGUGCUAUGUUAUGAAAUGUAUUGUCAGAUUAUCAUGUUUUGUUUUUCUAAUAAACAAUUCCUUGUGCUCUUUCU